AUUCGGAUGCCGAGUCCAAAAUAGGACGAAGUGCGCCUCCUGGAU
rnacentral:hammerhead_ribozyme from 1 species